GAUGAACGCUAGCGAUAGGCUUAACACAUGCAAGUCGAGGGGCAGCAUGGUCUUAGCUUGCUAAGACUGAUGGCGACCGGCGCACGGGUGCGUAACGCGUAUGCAACUUGCCUCACAGAGGGGGAUAACCCGUCGAAAGACGGACUAAUACCGCGUACACUCCAUCUUGGGCAUCCAAGGUAGAGGAAAUGAAAUUCGCUGUGAGAUAGGCAUGCGUCCCAUUAGCUAGUUGGUGAGGUAACGGCUCACCAAGGCGACGAUGGGUAGGGGAACUGAGAGGUUGAACCCCCACACUGGUACUGAGACACGGACCAGACUACUACGGGAGGCAGCAGUGAGGAAUAUUGGUCAAUGGGCGAGAGCCUGAACCAGCCAAGUCGCGUGAAGGAUGACUAUCUUAUGGAUGGUAAACUUCUUUUAUACGGGAAUAACAAGAGUCACGUGUGACUCCCUGCAUGUACCGUAUGAAUAAGCAUCGGCUAACUCCGUG
rnacentral:rRNA from 1 species